rnacentral:rRNA from 1 species
AAGAUUUUAAUUGAAUGCUAAAAGAAUGGAAAUUUAAAAAAAAACUUUUUUAAAAAUAAAAAUUGAAUUUUUUUUAAUUUGUGCAAAAACAAUUAUUAUUAUUAAAGACAAGAAGACCCUAAGAAUUUAUGAUUUUGCAAUUAGAAUUUUUUUCAAAAAAUCUUGAUUGGGGCGAUCAAAAAAUAUUAAUAACUUUUUAAAUUUAAAUUGAUCUAUUAUUAAUAAACUAAUGAAUUAAAUACUCUAGGGAUAACAGCGUAAUAAUUUUUGAUAGAUCUUAUUGACAAAAUAGUUUGCGACCUCGAUGUUGGAUUAGGAUCCUUUUUUAAUGAAGAAGUUAAAAAAAGAAGUUUGUUCAACUUUUAAAUUCCUACUU